rnacentral:rRNA from 1 species
AGAGAUGUGUGAUGACGCAUAUCAAUAAGCGGAGGAAAAGAAACUAACAAGGAUUCCCUUAGUAACGGCGAGUGAAGCGGGAAGAGCUCAAAUUUGAAAUCUUCAAGGUUCUACCUUGACGAAUUGUAGUUUAUAGAAGUGUUUUCUGUUAGUAGAGUGGCAAAAGUUCUUUGGAAUAGGACAUCAUAGAGGGUGAGAAUCCCGUAUUUGGUCAUUCUUUCUAGCUUUGUGAUACACUUUCAACGAGUCGGAUUGUUUGGGAAUGCAGUCCAAAAUGGGUGGUAAAUUUCAUCUAAAGCUAAAUAUUGGCGAGAGACCGAUAGCGAACAAGUACCGUGAGGGAAAGAUGAAAAGAACUUUGAAAAGAGAGUUAAACAGUACGUGAAAUUGUCAAAAGGGAAGCGUUUGACACCAUGUGUUGUUUUUCCGAAAAUCAAUUACGAAUGUUUUAGUUAUUAAGAAGUUAUGACUUCAUCGGCUUGCUUCUCUCUUUAUGAAACUUUCUUAAUGCACUUUUCGGUUAACAAGUCAACAUCAAUUUCUUUUGUUGUAAAAGGGUACGAGGAAGGUGGCUUUCUUUUCGGAGAAAGUGUUUAUAGCCUUGUACCUCUGCAAUCGGAGAGAUUGAGGUCUGCAGCGUAGAUCCUUCGGGGUUAGAUACAUUUGUGCUAAGUUAUAGCUUUUCAUAGACAGCUUGUUGACUAUGUUAGUCUUGUAGCUUACUCGCUUAUGCUAUUUUACCUACGCUUAGGAUGUUGAAGAUGUAGCACAUCAU